CCUACGGGAGGCAGCAGUGGGGAAUAUUGGACAAUGGGGGCAACCCUGAUCCAGCCAUGCCGCGUGUGUGAAGAAGGCCCUCGGGUUGUAAAGCACUUUCAGUGAGGAAGAACGCCUGGUGGUUAAUACCCAUCAGGAAAGACAUCACUCACAGAAGAAGCACCGGCUAACUCCGUGCCAGCAGCCGCGGUAAUACGGAGGGUGCGAGCGUUAAUCGGAAUUACUGGGCGUAAAGCGCGCGUAGGUGGCUUGAUAAGCCGGUUGUGAAAGCCCCGGGCUCAACCUGGGAACGGCAGCCGGAACUGUCAAGCUAGAGUGCAGGAGAGGAAGGUAGAAUUCCCGGUGUAGCGGUGAAAUGCGUAGAGAUCGGGAGGAAUACCAGUGGCGAAGGCGGCCUUCUGGACUGACACUGACACUGAGGUGCGAAAGCGUGGGUAGCAAACAGGAUUAGAUACCCGUGUAGUC
rnacentral:rRNA from 1 species